rnacentral:misc_RNA from 1 species
GAUGAAGAACGCAGCGAAAUGCGAUAAGUAAUGUGAAUUGCAGAAUUCAGUGAAUCAUCGAAUCUUUGAACGCACCUUGCGCCCUUUGGCUAUUCCGAAGGGCAUGCCUGUUUGAGUAUCAUGAAAACCUCAACUCUCAUGGCUUGCCAUGAUGAGCUUGGACUCUGGGGGUCUUGCUGGCUUUACGGUCAGCUCCUCUCAAAUAAAUCAGCUUGCCGGUGUUUGGUGGGAUCACAGGUGUGAUAACUAUCUACGCCUGUGGUUUUCCGCCAGGUAACCUUCAGCAAUGGAGGUUCGCUGGAGCUCAUAAAUGUCUCUCCUCAGCGAGGACAGAUUUUGACCGUUUGAUCUCAAAUCAGGUAGGACUACCCGCUGAACUUAAGCAUAUCAAUAAGCGGAGGA